UACGUAGGGUGCAAGCGUUGUCCGGAAUUAUUGGGCGUAAAGAGCUCGUAGGCGGUCUGUCGCGUCUGCUGUGAAAGUCGGGGGCUCAACCCUCGAAUGCCGGUGGAUACUGUCGGGCUAGAGUGCGGGAGAGGCGAGUGGAAUUCCUGGUGUAGCGGUGAAAUGCGCAGAUAUCAGGAGGAACACCAAUUGCGAAGGCAGCUCGCUGGAACGUAACUGACGCUGAGACGCGAAAGCGUGGGGAGCAAACAGG
rnacentral:rRNA from 1 species